rnacentral:rRNA from 1 species
CUCAGAUUGAACGCUGGCGGCAGGCCUAACACAUGCAAGUCGAGCGGAAACGAGUUAUCUGAACCUUCGGGGAACGAUAACGGCGUCGAGCGGCGGACGGGUGAGUAAUGCCUAGGAAAUUGCCUUGAUGUGGGGGAUAACCAUUGGAAACGAUGGCUAAUACCGCAUAAUGCCUACGGGCCAAAGAGGGGGACCUUCGGGCCUCUCGCGUCAAGAUAUGCCUAGGUGGGAUUAGCUAGUUGGUGAGGUAAUGGCUCACCAAGGCGACGAUCCCUAGCUGGUCUGAGAGGAUGAUCAGCCACACUGGAACUGAGACACGGUCCAGACUCCUACGGGAGGCAGCAGUGGGGAAUAUUGCACAAUGGGCGAAAGCCUGAUGCAGCCAUGCCGCGUGUAUGAAGAAGGCCUUCGGGUUGUAAAGUACUUUCAGUUGUGAGGAAGGGGGUGUCGUUAAUAGCGGCAUCUCUUGACGUUAGCAACAGAAGAAGCACCGGCUAACUCCGUGCCAGCAGCCGCGGUAAUACGGAGGGUGCGAGCGUUAAUCGGAAUUACUGGGCGUAAAGCGCAUGCAGGUGGUUCAUUAAGUCAGAUGUGAAAGCCCGGGGCUCAACCUCGGAACUGCAUUUGAAACUGGUGAACUAGAGUACUGUAGAGGGGGGUAGAAUUUCAGGUGUAGCGGUGAAAUGCGUAGAGAUCUGAAGGAAUACCAGUGGCGAAGGCGGCCCCCUGGACAGAUACUGACACUCAGAUGCGAAAGCGUGGGGAGCAAACAGGAUUAGAUACCCUGGUAGUCCACGCCGUAAACGAUGUCUACUUGGAGGUUGUGGCCUUGAGCCGUGGCUUUCGGAGCUAACGCGUUAAGUAGACCGCCUGGGGAGUACGGUCGCAAGAUUAAAACUCAAAUGAAUUGACGGGGGCCCGCACAAGCGGUGGAGCAUGUGGUUUAAUUCGAUGCAACGCGAAGAACCUUACCUACUCUUGACAUCCAGAGAAGCCAGCGGAGACGCAGGUGUGCCUUCGGGAGCUCUGAGACAGGUGCUGCAUGGCUGUCGUCAGCUCGUGUUGUGAAAUGUUGGGUUAAGUCCCGCAACGAGCGCAACCCUUAUCCUUGUUUGCCAGCGAGUAAUGUCGGGAACUCCAGGGAGACUGCCGGUGAUAAACCGGAGGAAAGUGGGGACGACGUCAAGUCAUCAUGGCCCUUACGAGUAGGGCUACACACGUGCUACAAUGGCGCAUACAG